rfam:Ricinus communis cultivar Hale ctg_1100012294019, whole genome shotgun sequence.
GGGUGCGAUCAUACCAGCACUAAUGCACCGGAUCCCAUCAGAACUCCGAAGUUAAACGUGCUUGGGCGAGAGUAGUACUAAGAUAGGUGACCUCUUGGGAAGUCCUCGUGUUGCACCCC